rnacentral:rRNA from 1 species
AUUGAACGCUGGCGGCAGGCCUAACACAUGCAAGUCGCACGAGUGGCGGACGGGUGAGUAAUGUCUGGGAAACUGCCCGAUGGAGGGGGAUAACUACUGGAAACGGUAGCUAAUACCGCAUACCCUCGGAUGUGCCCAGAUGGGAUUAGCUAGUAGGUGGGGUAACGGCUCACCUAGGCUACGAUCCCUAGCUGGUCUGAGAGGAUGAACAGCCAAACUUGAACGGUGACACGGUCCAGACUCCUCCGGUAGGCAGCAGUGGGGAAUAUUGCACAAUUGGCGCAAGCCUGAUGCAGCCAUGCCGCUUGUAUGAAGAAGGCCUUCGGGUUGUAAAGUACUUUCAGCGAGGAGGCGUUACUCGCAGAAGAAGCACCGGCUAACUCCGUGCCAGCAGCCGCGGUAAUUC